GAGCAGAGGGUGCAAACGUUGUUCGGAAUUACUGGGGCGUAAAGCGUGUGUAGGCGGUCCGCUAAGUCGGGUGUGAAAGCCCUGGGCCUCAACCCAGGAAGUGCACUCGAAACUGGACGGCUAGAGUAUCGGAGAGGUUGGUGGAAUUCGUCGGUGUAGAGGUGAAAUUCGUAGAUAUCGAGAGGAACACCGGUGGCGAAGGCGGCCAACUGGACGAAUACUGACGCUGAGACACGAAAGCGUGGGGAGCAAACAGG
rnacentral:rRNA from 1 species